AUUGAACGCUGGCGGCAGGCCUAACACAUGCAAGUCGAGCGAGCGGCGGACGGGUGAGUACUGUAUGGGGACUGCCCGAUAGAGGGGGGUAACUUAUGGCAACGGUAGCUAAUACCGCAUACUAUCGGAUAACCUAUAUGGGAUUAGCUAGUAGGUGAGGUAAUGGCUCACCUGGGCGACGAUCCCUAGCUGGUCUGAGAGGUUGAUCGGCCACACUGGGACUGAGCCACGGCCCAGACUCGUACGGAGGCAGCAGUGGGGAAUAUUGCACAAUGGGCGCAAGCCUGAUGCAGCCAUGCCGCGUGUAUGAUGAAGGCCUUCGGGUUGUAAAGUACUUUUGGCAGAGAAGCGGUAUCUGCAGAAUAAGCACCGGCUAACUACGUGCCAGCAGCCGCGGUAAUUC
rnacentral:rRNA from 1 species